GAUUAAUAUUAGAUAUAUUUAAAUGUGUUUGUAUUUAUCCCCAGUGAGCAAGUCUGAGGUGACUCCCUUGAAUGGUGAAGGAAGAAACCUUGAGAGGAACCAGACUCAAAGUGGAACCCAUCCUUAUAUAGUAUGUAGUACCAUGGUCCUGGAGAAACGUUGUCUCAUUUCACUGUGUACUUUUGGGAGGCCGCUACUGAUAUUUUAUCUACAGCACUACAAGAAGAACAAGAAGAUUAUGGAGGCAAAAUGCUCUCAUCUGGCCUACCUCUUCCACAUCAGCCUCAUAGCACUGAUGGCCGUCACUAUGUGGUCACUGAGGAUGAUGAGGAUGAGUUCAGGUUAAAAUGGGGCCAAAAUGUCUUGAACAUUCAGACUAAGAUGCAAGAAGUCCUGGAAGAGUGUAACUAGAGGAAGUGAUUCCAAAUUCACUGAAAUUUUGUUAAACCACAGCUGUCUUAGUUUCUUCUGCAUGUGAGAAUAAAUUUUUUUAUUCCUGAA